rfam:Coniochaeta ligniaria NRRL 30616 unplaced genomic scaffold CONLIGscaffold_8, whole genome shotgun sequence.
ACGUACGACCAUAGGUGCUGGAGAACUCGGGAUCCCGUCCGCUCUCCCAUCGAUAAGCUAGUAACCGACAGACUAGUACUCGGGUGGGUGACCACCGGGGAAUCCCUGUUGUUGUACGUU